GUGGGGAAUAUUGGGCAAUGGGGGAAACCCUGACCCAGCGACGCCGCGUGAGGGAAGAAGGCCUUAGGGUCGUAAACCUCUGUUGUGUGGGAAGAAGAGCGUGACGGUACCACCCGAGGAAGUCCCGGCUAACUACGUGCCAGCAGCCGCGGUAAUACGUAGGGGACGAGCGGUGUCCGGAUUUACUGGGCGUAAAGGGCGCGUAGGCGGUCAUGUAAGUCAGCUGUGAAAUGGUCCGGCUCAACCGGAUCAUGCGGUUGAAACUGGAUGACUGGAGUGCUGGAGAGGCAAGUGGAAUUCCCAGUGUAGCGGUGAAAUGCGUAGAUAUUGGGAAGAACACCGGUGGCGAAGGCGACUUGCUGGCCAGCAACUGACGCUGAGGCGCGAAAGCCAGGGGAGCAAACGGGAUUAGAUACCCCGGUAGUCC
rnacentral:rRNA from 1 species